rnacentral:rRNA from 1 species
CCUACGGGAGGCAGCAGUGGGGAAUAUUGGUCAAUGGGCGCAAGCCUGACCCAGCAACGCCGCGUGAAGGAAGAAGGCUCUCGGGUUUUAAAAUUCUUUUAAUAGGGAAGAAAAGAAGACGGUACCUCUUGAAUAAGCCACGGCUAACUACGUGCCAGCAGCCACGGUAAUACGUAGGUGGCAAGCGUUGUCCGGAUUUACUGGGUGUAAAGGGCGUGCAGACGGGAAGGAAAGUCAGAUGUGAAAUCCCGCGGCUCAACCGCGGAACUGCAUUUGAAACUGUGUGUCUUGAGUACCGGAGAGGUAAUCGGAAUUCAUGGUGUAGCGGUGAAAUGCGUAGAGAUAAGGAAGAACACCAGUGGCGAAGGCGGAUGACUGGACGGCAACUGACGGUGAGGCGCGAAAGCGUGGGGAGCAAACAGGAUUAGAUACCCUAGUAGUC